rnacentral:sRNA from 1 species
UAUGAAUACUGAAAACACUACGUGUGCGC